GAAUAUCCUAAUGAACCGAAUACUGAAUAUCCUAAUGAACCGAAUACUGAAUAUCCUAAUGAACCGAAUACUGAAUAUCCUAAUGAACCGAAUACUGAAUAUCCUAAUGAACCGAAUACUGAAUAUCCUAAUGAACCGAAUACUGAAUAUCCUAAUGAACCGAAUACUGAUGUUAUAGUUUUUAACAAAUUGGAAUCACAUAACAUAGAUAUAAUCUCGUAUAGGCCUAGUUUUGAAAUAAAAAUUGAUAUUGUUAACUUUUUAUCAUUUUUAAAAAAUGCUUUUGAAAAACCAGGAAAUAUCAAAAGUGCGAUAGAAAAAGAUAGCUUACUACAAAAUAUAGUACCAAAUUAUUAUUCUCCUAUUGAACUAUUUAAUUUUGUUUUUAAAAAUGAUUUUUAUUAUGCAUCAGAAAUUCAUACAAAUUUCGAAAAAAAUAGUUGUAUGAAUUCGAAUUAUAAUUUAAAUCGACAUAAGAAAAUACAAGAACUAUUCGAUAGUUUUGAAAAUAAUCUAAAACUUAUAACGUCUGAGAAAUUGGUUCAGCUACGUAUAAAGACAAUUAUAAAGGCUUUUAUUAUUUCGAUAUUUAAAUUAUCUUACAAUAAUAAUAUAUUGUUUGUAUCGUUCACAAAUGAGUUUAAAGACGUCCCUAAAGAUUUUCUUUGUUUUAUAAACUUUUUUUUAUUUUUCCAUUAUUUUAUAUUAUUUUUAAUUGAAAAAAUUAGAACUACAUCUAGAGAAGCCUUUUCUUUAAAAGGGUAUUAUACUAUUUCGGUAAGAACAUAGCUAUAUACAAUACAAGUGGAUAUAUACAUAUACAUUGGCUGUGUUAUUCGAUACUUACGUAAAAAAAAAAAAAAAAAAAUACACAUUUUAUUUUUAUACAUAUAUAUAUAUAUAUAUAUCUAUUUGUAGCAAACGUACUGUUUGAUGUGAUAAUAUGUAUAUUGUAACGCAUUGUUCAUAUACACAUAUAUAGACUUAACACCUUCUAGUUGU
rnacentral:lncRNA from 1 species